AUUGAACGCUGGCGGCAGGCCUAACACAUGCAAGUCGAACGAGUGGCGGACGGGUGAGUAAUGUCUGGGAAACUGACUGAUGGAGGGGGCUAACUACUGGAAACGGUAGCUAAUACCGCAUACCAUCGGAUGUGCCCAGAUGGGAUUAGCUAGGAGGUGGGGUAAAGGCUCACCUAGGCGACGAUCCCUAGAUGGUCUGAGAGGAUGACCAGCCACACUGUAACUGAGACACGGUCCAGAAUCCUACGGGAGGUAGCAGGAGUGAAUAGUGCACAAUGGGCGCAAGCCUGAUGCAGCCAGGCCGCGUGUAUGAAGAAGGCUUGCGGGUUGUAAAGGACUUUCAGCGGGGAGGCGUUACCCGCAGAAGAAGCACCGGCUAACUCCGUGCCAGCAGCCGCGGUAAUAC
rnacentral:rRNA from 1 species